CUACGGGAGGCAGCAGUGGGGAAUUUUGGACAAUGGGCGCAAGCCUGAUCCAGCCAUGCCGCGUGAGUGAAGAAGGCCUUCGGGUUGUAAAGCUCUUUCGGCCGGGAAGAAAUCGCAUGAACUAAUACUUUGUGCGGAUGACGGUACCGGCAUAAGAAGCACCGGCUAACUACGUGCCAGCAGCCGCGGUAAUACGUAGGGUGCGAGCGUUAAUCGGAAUUACUGGGCGUAAAGCGUGCGCAGGCGGUUUUUUAAGAUAGGCGUGAAAUCCCCGGGCUCAACCUGGGAACUGCGCCUAUGACUGGAAGACUAGAGUAUGGCAGAGGGGGGUGGAAUUCCACGUGUAGCAGUGAAAUGCGUAGAGAUGUGGAGGAACACCGAUGGCGAAGGCAGCCCCCUGGGCCAAUACUGACGCUCAUGCACGAAAGCGUGGGGAGCAAACAGGAUUAGAUACCCCGGUAGUC
rnacentral:rRNA from 1 species